GUGCCUACGGGAGGCAGCAGUGGGGAAUAUUGGGCAAUGGACGCAAGUCUGACCCAGCAACGCCGCGUGAAGGAAGAAGGCUUUCGGGUUGUAAACUUCUUUUAAGGGGGAAGAGCAGAAGACGGUACCCCUUGAAUAAGCCACGGCUAACUACGUGCCAGCAGCCGCGGUAAUACGUAGGUGGCAAGCGUUGUCCGGAUUUACUGGGUGUAAAGGGCGUGCAGCCGGGCUGACAAGUCAGAUGUGAAAUCCCGCGGCUCAACCGCGGAACUGCAUUUGAAGCUGUCAGUCUUGAGUACCGGAGG
rnacentral:rRNA from 1 species